UACGAGUGCCUCAAGCGUUAUCCGGAAUCAUUGGGCGUAAAGGAUGUGUAGGUGGCCCUGUUAGUCUCUCGUUAAAUUUUGCGGCUUAACCGUAAACAUGCGGGGGAAACGGCAGGACUUGAGGGUGCAAGGGGUCUCUGGAACUCUAGGUGUAGUGGUGAAAUGCGUAGAGAUCAGGAGGAACACCGGUGGCGAAGGCGGCCUACUGGGCCAGCACUGACGCUGAGGCGCGAAAGCUCGGGGAGCGAACGGG
rnacentral:rRNA from 1 species